GACGAACGCUGGCGGCGUGCUUAACACAUGCAAGUCGAACGGAAAGGCCUGCUUUCCCUUGUGGAUUGCGGGUACUCGAGUGGCGAACGGGUGAGUAACACGUGAGUGAUCUGCCCCCAACUUGGGUAUAAGCCUGGGAAACUGGGUCUAAUUCCCGAUAGGACUGCAGGGUGGUGCCUGUGGUGGAAAACGAUUUUCUAGUGGUUGGGGAUGAGCUCGCGGCCUAUCAGCUUGUUGGUGGGGUAAUGGCCUACCAAGGCGGCGACGGGUAGCCGGCCUGAGAGGGUGGACGGCCACAUUGGGACUGAGAUACGACCCAGACUCCUACGGGAGGCAGCAGUGGGGAAUAUUGCACAAUGGGCGGAAGCCUGAUGCAGCGACGCCGCGUGGGGGAUGACGGCCUUCGGGUUGUAAACUCCUUUCGACCGCGAGGAAGCCACCUGGUUGGAAGGGUGGUGACGGUAGUGGUAGAAGAAGCACCGGCUAACUACGUG
rnacentral:rRNA from 1 species